GGGAUGCUCACGUGGUCGCUUUGCUCCCGCAGUCAUGCACUUGGGUGAAAACAGACUGAAGAGUCACGGGAACCAGCUUGUCUCCCCAGUUAUGGCGCAGAGCUGCAAGGAUGGCUGUGGGUCAUUAAUUUCUCCGUGGCUGACCUGUGUUUGUAACGCCGCAGCUGUUGCGAGGGGGAAGGACACUGCUUCGGAUUCAAAUUCUGACUCCUUGCUGCAGUGUGUCACCUUGAGCCAGUCCCAGAUCUCUGCGUUCUCACAAUUGUAAAAUGUUAACAGUGGCUGCCUACCUUGUGGCUGGAAUUAAAUGAAUUAACGUGUGUGAAUGUGACUAGAAUUCAGUACAUGUUCAGGAAAAGCUGAUUUCCGCUUUGCUGUUACCGUGAAUAUUACUGUUUUAGGAUGUAGAAAAGGGUGGAAGGGGAUGUUAUUGCAUCCUGGAAGCUUAUCCUUUUGAGGAAGAAAUCCUUAUCUUUCCAACGCUGAGAUGCCUCUGCCGAAGAGUAGAAUGGGAGACAGAGAAACGGAGGCACAGAGAAGGAAGCGGCAGGUAAAGCUGUGAAGAACCUAACAAAUUUCAAGAUUGUAAGUGCCUUUUCCCAGGAUGCCAGCAAGUACUGAGGCAAGCCUGUAUUUUGAGCUGCGUCAAACCCUGUUGGAAUAAAAAAGGACAUUUCUAGGAGAUCAGUCUUCAAGAUUGGCCCCAGUUUCCCCAGAGUA
rnacentral:lncRNA from 1 species